rnacentral:ribozyme from 1 species
CCCAACCGUUGCUGCUACCUUAACGUGGUGGUCGAGCUUGCCUACCGUAAUGAACCAAUCGAGCUAUACUGGCUGGAACAGUCAUUCUUCAAGGUUCUACCAUGCCAGACAGGUCGGUUGAAAGACAGUAAGACUAAAAGUAGC